rnacentral:rRNA from 1 species
AGGAUGAACGCUGGCGGCGUGCUUAACACAUGGCAAGUCGAACGGAGAAACGGUAGCUUGCUACUUUUUUAGUGGCGGACGGGUGAGUAACGCGUGGGGUAACCUGCCCUUUGCAGGGGGAUAACAGUGAGAAAUCGCUGCUAAUACCGCAUACCAACUUCUUUCGCAUGAAAGAAGUUUGAAAGAUUUAUCGGCAAAGGAUGGACCCGCGUUGGAUUAGCUAGUUGGUGAGAUAACAGCCCACCAAGGCAACGAUCCAUAGCCGGCCUGAGAGGGUGAACGGCCACACUGGGACUGAGACACGGCCCAGACUCCUACGGGAGGCAGCAGUGGGGAAUAUUGCACAAUGGGCGAAAGCCUGAUGCAGCGACGCCGCGUGAAGGAUGAAGGUCUUCGGAUUGUAAACUUCUAUCAGCAGGGAAGAAAGGGCUUAUAGCCUAUGACGGUACCUGACUAAGAAGCCCCGGCUAACUACGUG